UGCUCCCCCGUGACCUCCCCGUGCCUCCUGUCCGCCGCUUCUUUAGGUUUAAAAAGUAUUUCGGCCUACCCAGAUAACGUGAGUGCCUGCCCGCUGCAGAGAGAGCCGGGUGGGCCUGUGCCCCCCCGGUCAGUGGGGGCCGUGGUCGGGAGGCGGGCGCUGUCGGGGGCGGGUUUGGGUUUUGUAUUUUGUUAAAUCGGUCAGAAGAGGCGUCACCGAAGAGCUGGAGCGUCCGAUCGGGUGAAGGAGGAGCUGUUGUGCGAGAAGACAGUAGUGAAGAAAGAGUAUGUAAGAAUCUAUUCUCUUCCACCAGCUGUAGUAGGAGAGUUCUGGGCUAUGUGAUUAUCUGCCUCUUACCAGACUAGGAUCGGACUACAUGGAACUCUGGUAAUUAGAC
rnacentral:lncRNA from 1 species